AGAAGAUUUUUCUGGAUCUAGCAUCUCUCCUAUCUCCACCACCUGCUCUCUCUCUCUCUCAUUUCAUCUCUCAAUCAGAGAGAUCGAUAAUUUGUCCCCCGCGACCCAGACCACCUCCCGAUCCAUUGGGAGAUGAUUGGUUUUCUUUCUCGUUUCAUCUGUUGAGAGAUAAUCCGUCCUCUCAAUCUCUCAUCAUCUCUUCACAUUUCCUUAUCUGAGAGAUUGAGAGAUAACUAAUUCUCUCGCCAUUCCAUUUGUUGAGACACAAUUCAUCAUCUCCCUCUCAUCCAAUUUAUUCAGAGAAAUUUUCAUUCAUUGUUUCUGUACAACACUAAGGACAUCGCAGAAUGCAACAGCAUCAGGACAUUUCUCAUCACGACGGCCAAGAAGGACCGUCUGGAUCGAUGACGCCUCCAUCGAAGAACGAGGAAGAGCCCCCUAACCCUCCGGCGUCCACGACCAGCUUCGUAUUAGGAUUUUUCACCGCGCUAUGUUGCUGCUGCUUGGUCGACGAGCCGCUCAUGUGACGACAUGGCUGUUUUGCGUGUUGCACCGUGCUUUGUACAGACUGCAGAAAACAUGCAAUCAAAAUUCAGUGCCUCUGAUC